rnacentral:misc_RNA from 1 species
UUCAAUUAAAUUUCAUAAAAUUUUAUGAAAUGAAAUUGAAACAAACAAGCUCUAAGUAAAUCCAGCAAAAGCAGAAUGAUUGCCACGAAUAAGAAAUCAAGAUAUGGGCCCGGAGCUGGUGACCUAACUGAGCACUCAGCAGACCAUUUCUGUAUUUAUAUAUUAAUUUAUUAUCCACUAAGGAGAUUAUUGGGUGUGCUACCGUGUCAUUCACACUUUCAAAAACAAUUAUUGUAUGUAGUAUAAUUUUAUGAUAGCUAUAAUCUCACAUAAAUUCAUCAUCAUCACCUCACCAUCGUCGUCGACUGAAUCGAAUAAUUUUUCAAAUUCUACGCUCACGUCACGGCUAACUCGCUUUAUUGGAGGGGCACUUUGGUCAAGCCAGUGCACGGACACGUCAUAUAGAUUGUUCAAUACAACCGCACCAGCAGGGAGCGUAAUUUAGCAAUCUACGCAAUAAUACCCAGCAUUUGUGGCGCAACUUAGAAAGGCGCAAAAUUCAAGCAAAGUUUCGUACUCUCAACACUAGGCGCACAUUGGAAAUAGCUAGCAAACCUUUGCUACAAUGCGCAUAUUCACACAGUACAACGGAAAUUCGAAAAUCA